AAAGCCAGAACCAUUACAGGGAGGAGAGUCGGGGAAAUAAAUUCCUGGCUCGUCUCUUGCAAUGGUGAAACACAUUAAAAGAGGAAAUCCUUCAGAUGCUAAAUUACCAAGUGUCAAUCCAGACAAUAUAAGUAUUCAGUGAGCGUUCCUACAUAGGAAAGGAUAUAACAUGUCCUUGGAAGAUCAGGAAACUGGUAACAGAAAAGAUGAUAUUUGAGAAGACUCUUAAGGAAAAAUAAAAAUAUAUUCAAGCAGCGAAUGCAAUGAUAUGAAGGCUGGGAAAGGAGGGUGGAGAAGGCAGAGCUUAAGCAAAGGCACAUAUGGAUGGGAACACGUGGCAUAUACCAAGAACUAUAGUCAUUGAAGAUAACUACAGUUCAGGGUACAUGAGGAAUGAAUGGAGAGGAGUCUAGAAAGGCAGGAAAAGAAGGCUUAAAGGCAAUGGGUGUAGUUUAUGAGAGAAUAAUGUGGUUAAAUGUGUCCUUUAAUCAACCAGUAAUAGGCAGCAAUGAGGGACUCAGAGUACAAGACUGGCAACAGAAAUUGCAACUAAAUACCAAUUUCAGAAUAUUUAAGUGAGAAAUGAUAGAAAAUGACUUAAAACUUGAUAAUUGGAGUAAAACUAUGAAAUAUGAUUGAGAAACAACAAAAUGACCAAAUUAACAAAUGUGAUAAGGUGAAGAGGCCUCAUAGGGUCACGGCAUAGAAAGCUGUCUACUGCAGUAGAGAAGACAGGAGAACUAGACAAAUUCAGAGGGAAAGUAUGAGUUUGGUUUAAAACACAUUACAGUUAGUAUUCUGUAAAAUGUUUACAUUAUGCUGUUUAACGUACAAUUGUAGAUAUGAGUGUUCAACUCAUUCAUGGAAGAAGCCUGGGUGAAAACAGGUAUUUGUGAGUUAUUGAAACAUAGUUGAGAUUCAGACUUGGAUGAAUGUUUGUUGAAUAAACACACCAAGUCAUGAGAAAAACACUUCUUAUUAAGUAGUUAAGCACUCAGCACUAUGCCUCAAUUGUGAACUUUUAAAAAAGUGAAUAAAAAAGUGUUCCUGCU
rnacentral:lncRNA from 1 species